CGGGGCGGUGCUCGCCGCGGCCCUGCCCUCGCUUUCCCAGCAAAGCAGCUGGGAGAGGGUGAAGGUCUUCCGGUCAGUAAUUUGAGAUGAGGGAUAAAGAGGUGACCCCGAAGCCGGAGGGGAACCCCGAAGCCGGAGGAGAUCCCCGAGCCCCGAAAGCAACCUUCAAGACUCUUUCUAUCAAGCUUUUGGCUCCUUGAUUCCAGGCAGCUGCAAGUCGUCGUCGACGGUGGGGUAAAGUGAUAGACUAAAGAGGACUGUGUGGGUGUCUGUGCGUGUUUCUGUCCAUUUAAUGAAAGGUGGGUAGAUGGGGCAGGAGGGAAUGGAGAGCUAGAGCGAGAGGACCAGAGCGCAGAGCGAGACAGAGAGGAGUGAGAGGAGAGAGAGAGCGCGCGCGAGCCCGCAGAGCACCAACUCCACCAGACCCUUGUGCCUGCGAGAGGAGCUGCAGGCUCAAGAACAGAGCGAGGGGUGAGAGGAUGGACUGAGAGCUGGAGAAGCGUCUCUGAAAACCCGUGCCCACAUGUGUACUUGUAAAAGGAUCGAAGGUGAAAGUCGUUUCCCCAGGACACAGAUUUUGUAACCGGGCCAAGGAAGUAGCCACUAAAAUGUUGCUAGACCAGUGGUUGGUCCUUGCAUCAGAAGAGAGGAUCCAGGAAAUUCAGAAAGGAAAUCCCAGGGAAUGACGUGGCUGUUCUUCCCGUAAACGUGCUGGAGUUUCCCUCCCUCCCCACCACUUACAUCUGGUGCUUUGUCCAGUGAGACGUUCGCGAACGUGACGCAGCAGAGACUCAGGACGUGCUCACAGACAGGAGCUCGACUCCUUGCUGGUGAGAAGCCGUCCGUCGUCGGUGGAGAAGUCCUCCGCAGCCUCCCGGAGGACGCCCCCGCCCGGCGCGCAGAGCCUCCCCGCCGGAGGCCCCGGGAGCAACGCGCUCCCCAGCCAGCUGUGCUCGCCAUCCGCAAGGCGUCUGCUUAAGACAAUCUUUGCCUCCUCAGCACUUACUGAGCCACCAAGUGACCACGCCUGAACGAAUGGCCUCAGGCCAGACCGGCAGGAAGACGACCCAGCUGAACCCAGCUCAAAUCGUUGACCCACAAGAUCACGAGCAAAUAAACUGAUUAUUGCUUUAAGCCAGUACGUUCUGAGUUGGUUUAUUUUAUAGCAAUAGAUAACCAACACAGAAGGAGAAUAUACUGGAACCAGCUGCCCCUGCGCACCACGUGCCAGCCCACCGGAACAUAGACGCGAAUAGUGCAUGCCUGAAUGGGUGGAGGAGGACAUAAAUAAACGCGUUCCUGACAAG